GGAUGCGGCGUCUCAGGGGCCACGCCUGCCUCCCCCGCCGCCGCGCGCAUACACAGAAUUCCUCAUGCUGCUGCUAUCACGGAACUCAGGGCCCCACACAUUGAUUUUAAUUUUCAACACUUAGCACCUGACUUAGUGAUCUAAGAUCACUGACUCAGAAAACAGGAAAGGUCAGUCUGCCUAACACCUCACCCAGCGUCCUGGGAUUAGCAUCCAAAACAAACAGAUCAGAGAUGGGAUGCAGACUCCCAAGAGAUGAUUCCCACAUGUGAGAAAGCCCAGGAGAAGCGGAUGGCGGAUGGCGUUUCUCAAGCUCGCUGACGUCACUCAAGUUCAUGAUCCAAGGCUUCACCCUACUGGGGUUGGGGGGUUGGGUUCUACUGGAAGAGUGAAGCUGGUGGAUUAAGAAAAGUGGUGGUAGGGAGAGGGAGGGAAAGGAGUUCUUUCUGCUAGUCAAAGGAGAAACCAAAUAAAAUGAAUGAA
rnacentral:lncRNA from 1 species